rnacentral:hammerhead_ribozyme from 1 species
GCACUGUUUAGGAGUCCCAUAAUAGGACGAAACGGCCGUCCAGUGC